rnacentral:rRNA from 1 species
AGCGAACGCUGGCGGCAGGCCUAACACAUGCAAGUCGAACGAACCUUUCGGGGUUAGUGGCGGACGGGUGAGUAACACGUGGGAACGUGCCUUUAGGUUCGGAAUAACUCAGGGAAACUUGUGCUAAUACCGAAUGUGCCCUUCGGGGGAAAGAUUUAUCGCCUUUAGGGCGGCCCGCGUCUGAUUAGCUAGUUGGUUGAGGUAAUGGCUCACCAAGGCGACGAUCAGUAGCUGGUCUGAGAGGAUGAUCAGCCACAUUGGGACUGAGACACGGCCCAAACUCCUACGGGAGGCAGCAGUGGGGAAUCUUGCGCAAUGGGCGAAAGCCUGACGCAGCCAUGCCGCGUGAAUGAUGAAGGUCUUAGGAUUGUAAAAUUCUUUCAACGGGGACGAUAAUGACGGUACCCGGAGAAGAAGCCCCGGCUAACUUCGUG